GACGGAGGAUGCAAGCGUUAUCCGGAAUUAUUGAGCGUAAAGCGUCCGCAGGUGGUGUUUCAAGUCUGCCGUUAAAGACCGGGGCUCAACCCCAGAAAGGCGGUGGAAACUGAAAGACUAGAGUGCGGUAGGGGCAGAGGGAAUUCCCGGUGUAGCGGUGAAAUGCGUAGAGAUCGGGAAGAACACCGGUGGCGAAAGCGCUCUGCUGGGCCGCAACUGACACUCAGGGACGAAAGCUAGGGGAGCGAAUGGG
rnacentral:rRNA from 1 species